ACACCAGCACCUUUCCUUGCUGUUCUUUCCCAUAGCUGCUUACUAGCAGAAAAGGGCCAUUUGUUUGCUAUCUGAUAAGGAGCCUGGGUUUUUUUUCUCUUUCCAAGCCUAAUCUGUGUUUGAACCUGUUGGUGUGGAAGGAGAGACGACGACUUCAAAUCACAGUAUCAGCAUUUUCUUUAAUGCCUGUGUUGCCAACCUCCCGCUGUCUGUGUUAGAGCAGGUUUAAUAGUUAACACACACCACUGGAAGCCGGUGUUCCUGUGCUCGGCAUAAAUUUCCUCUGGGAAUUUGGACAUGUCUCCUAAUGACAGCCCCUGUUGUCCUGCCUGUAAAAGGAGUAGUGCUGCAGACAAGCAGAAAUUCAUUCAUAUUCUGUGAACUACUUAAGAGAUCCUCCAGAAAAAGAGCUCAUGCAAAUAUAUAUGCAUAUAAUCAGAUGCCCUUUCAGCUGAAAUGAUCCUAAAAAUGAUAAAUAAUAAAUCCCUGUGGCAAAUUUACAAGUAAUUAUAGAAACUGGUAACUGAGCAAAAUGAUGGAGCGAAAUAUGCCCAGUACAGUUGAGGUGGGCACAGGAUUUUGCUCUUUUGGAAAUGCAAGGUACCUGGACCAAAAGGGGUGGGAUAAGAUGGGUCCCUACGUAGUGGGGUUGUUGGUAAGGGUGCAGGAAGGCACCUGAGCUCCUUAAGCAUUCCUUCCCAGUAUUUACUGAGGAGCUGCAAUGUGUUCCUGUCAGAUCCUCAUUUCAUUCUAACAAUAACUCGAGAGGAUGUUCAACAGUGACUGCUAAAAUUAGAUGCCUGGAAAUCAGGGCUGAAUAAUUGUUGUGGAAGAGCUGGUAUGGGGAUUCUGCAUCCAGGAGACAGGGAGAGGCUUUGAAACAAAGCUCUGCUUCACUGGGAGAAAGGUGGUGCAGAGGCAUGCUUCCAGAGGAAAUCAAAGGUGCUCCAGGUCUUCCUGCCUACCUUCAUUUCAAGGCAAAGCUAUAAAAUGGCUGAUCCUGGGAUUCGCUCGAAAUCACAAAGUCAUGGAAUAAUGUUGGUUGGAAGAAACCCCUGGAGGUCCAAGACAUAGGUCUUGCUCAAAGGUCAGUCCAGUUCAUGUAACUGUAGCAUUUUCAGCAUGAGCUCAGGAGCGAAAUCCAUGCUGGAAUGCCAACAACUUCAACACAUCCUGCAGGGUGAGAGGUGACCCAUAGCCUCCUGUGCUUGCCCUCAGUCCCGUUUCCUUCCCUGCACAGCCUGGGACUGGUUGUCACUUGUGGCUGUUUCCACUGGGGUAUGGAGAACAAAGACUGCGAUGCACUUACUUAACGUUGAUUUAAACACGAUCUAUAGUUUGUGGUUGUUCUCAGUUUGCCUGCAGCGUGGUCAUUUCUGUCACAGCACAUCCAGUGCUGGCUCCUGCGGCUCCACAUGAACUGGGACCAGUUCAGCAAAGAGCUUCCGGUCUCCUGAUGUGCAGUGACCAUCACCCCACGACCAGACCCCUGCAGUCAGCCUUCUUGCAUGGAGAAGCCUCUCCACGUUUGGCUCCUGUUCCCAGUGCCGGGCUCAGGAUGCGCAGAGCCAACACCGGGAGCAGCUGUCCCACUUUGUGGAAACUUUCUUGCCUUUUUAAGGCCGUGUUGAGUGCUCUGCUCUAACUUUAGCACAAAGGUUACCCUAAAGGAGCAGGUAAUGCUGAACAAAGCGCUCUGAGUGACUGCAGGAGCUGGGAUUAGGUGCUGGUUCCUCACGCUGUGCUUUUCUG